rnacentral:rRNA from 1 species
UACGUAGGGGCUAGCGUUAUCCGGAAUUACUGGGCGUAAAGGGUGCGUAGGUGGUUUCUUAAGUCAGAGGUGAAAGGCUACGGCUCAACCGUAGUAAGCCUUUGAAACUGGGAAACUUGAGUGCAGGAGAGGAGAGUGGAAUUCCUAGUGUAGCGGUGAAAUGCGUAGAUAUUAGGAGGAACACCAGUUGCGAAGGUGGCUCUCUGGACUGUAACUGACACUGAGGCACGAAAGCGUGGGGAGCGAACAGGAUUAGAUACCCUGGUAGUCCCUGAG